rnacentral:rRNA from 1 species
AUGCAUGUCGAGCGGAGUUUAGAGAGCUUGCUUUCUAAACUUAGCGGCAAAUGGGUGAGUAACACGUAAGGAACCUGCCUAAGUGACGAGGACAACGGUUGGAAACGACUGCUAAUACUGGAUAGUAUAAGAAACCGCAUGAUUUCUUAUUUAAAGGUCCGUUUGGACCACGCUUAGAUGGCCUUGCGGCGCAUUAGAUAGUUGGUGAGGUAACGGCCCACCAAGUCAAUGAUGCGUACGUGCACUGAGAGGUGAAACAGCCACACUGGGACUGAGACACGGCCCAGACUCCUACGGGAGGCAGCAGUAGGGAAUUUUCGGCAAUGGGCGAAAGCUGACCGAGCAAUGGUGCGUGAACGAUGAAGGUCCUUGGAUCGUAAAGUUCUUUUAUAAAGGAAGAAUACACUGCGUAGGAAAUGAUGCAGUGCUGACGGUACUUUUUGAAUAAGCUCCGGCCAACUAUGUGCCAGCAGCCGCGGUAAUACAUAGGGAGCGAGCGUUAUCCGGAAUUAUUGGGCGUAAAGAGUGCGUAGGCGGUAUAUUAAGUCGGUGGUGAAAUACUGAGGCUAAACCUCAGUCUGCCUCCGAAACUGGUAUACUAGAGUACGGUAGAGGUAAGUGGAAUUCCAUGUGUAGCGGUAAAAUGCGUAGAUAUAUGGAGGAACACCAGAGGCGAAGGCGGCUUACUAGGCCGGCACUGACGCUAAUGCACGAAAGCGUGGGUAGCAAACAGGAUUAGAUACCCUGGUAGUCCAUGCAGUAAACGAUGAGAACUAAGUGUCGGGGUUUCUCGGUGCUGAAGUUAACACAUUAAGUUCUCCGCCUGGGGAGUACGGCCGCAAGGUUAAAACUCAAAGGAAUUGACGGGAACCCGCACAAGCGGUGGAGCAUGUUGUUUAAUUCGACGCUACGCGAAGAACCUUACCAGGCCUUGACAUACCAGUGACAGUUAUAGAGAUAUGAUCUUUCUUCGGGAACACUGGAUACAGGUGGUGCAUGGUUGUCGUCAGCUCGUGUCGUGAGAUGUUGGGUUAAGUCCCGCAACGAGCGCAACCCUUAUGGCUAGUUACUAACAUUCAGUUGAGGACUCUAGCAAGACUGCCAGCGAUAAGCUGGAGGAAGGUGGGGAUGACGUCAAAUCAUCAUGCCCUUUAUGGCCUGGGCUACAAACGUGCUACAAUGGCCGGUACAAAGAGCUGCAAGUAGGCGACUAUAAGCUAAUCUCACAAAGCCGGUCUCAGUUCGGAUUGGAGUCUGCAACUCGACUCCAUGAAGUUGGAAUCGCUAGUAAUCGUGGGUCAGCAUACCACGGUGAAUACGUUCCCGGGUUUUGUACACACUGCCUGUCAAACCAUGAAAGUUCAUAACACACGAAAACGGUGGCCUAACCUUUAAGGAGGGAGCCGUCUAAUGUGGGGUGGAUGAUUGGGGUUAA